CACGGAACUGUAGGGGCUGGAAGGGGCUUCUAGAGAUCAUCGAGUCCAACCCUCCUACCAAAGCAGGCUCCCUAGACCAGAUUGCACAGGUCAGCUCCCAACAUUGGCUGAGUCUCAUCUAUAUUAAGGAAAGUUGAGCUCCGUGGGGAUCUGAAGUGCUUGCUGUGUUGUGCUGAGCGCUCCUGUGACUCAAGAGUCAUCAAAGUGCUCUCCAAAAAAGGAAUUUGUCCCCACUUUGUAUCUGAGAGAGAGGUAUUGCAUUACCUCUGCUUUGAAAAUGAGGAAGAAAGCGAUUAUGUGAUUCACCUUAAUUGCACGGGAAGCCACUUGGUCUUGUCCUAAUGUUACUGCUGAUCCCACAGGCUUGUCAGGAGGCUAAAAUUGGAUGCUUCUCUGAUCCGGUGAGUCUCCUGUCUGCGUACAGGAACUGUGUCUUGG
rnacentral:lncRNA from 1 species